AUUGAACGCUGGCGGCAUGCCUUACACAUGCAAGUCGAACGGUAACGGGUCCUUCGGGAUGCCGACGAGUGGCGAACGGGUGAGUAAUAUAUCGGAACGUGCCCAGUAGUGGGGGAUAACUGCUCGAAAGAGCAGCUAAUACCGCAUACGACCUGAGGGUGAAAGGGGGGGAUCGCAAGACCUCUCGCUAUUGGAGCGGCCGAUAUCAGAUUAGCUAGUUGGUGGGGUAAAGGCCUACCAAGGCAACGAUCUGUAGUUGGUCUGAGAGGACGACCAGCCACACUGGGACUGAGACACGGCGCAGACUCCUACGUGAGGAAGCAGUGGGGAAUUUUGGACGAUGGGCGCAAGCCUGAUCCAGCAAUGCCGCGUCCAGGAAGAAGGCCUUCGGGUUGUAAACUGCUUUUGUCAGGGAAGAAAUCUUCUGGGCUAAUACCCCGGGAGGAUGACGGUACCUGAAGAAUAAGCACCGGCUAACUACGUGCCAGCCGCCGCGGUAA
rnacentral:rRNA from 1 species